rnacentral:misc_RNA from 1 species
GAUGAAGAACGCAGCGAAAUGCGAUAAGUAGUGUGAAUUGCAGAAUUCCGUGAAUCAUCGAAUCUUUGAACGCACAUUGCGCCUUCUGGUAUUCCGGAAGGCAUGCCUGUUCGAGAGUCAUUAACAACCGUUUCGAUCCCUUUCUUUCAGAAAUUACAAAGAGGAAAAGGGUUUGGUUAUGGUGGAGGAGGGAAAGGGAGCGUUUAGCCUGUAAAAAAAGAGGCUGUGUUCCGCCUCCCCCCCAAAAUUGUACAGGCGGUCGUGUGCGCCCACGCAUCGAGGUGUUGUAAAAGCUGCCACGGCACUUUUCACCUGUGCAGUGCGAGAUUGGCCAGCCGGUUUAAAAACCCCUCCAACCAAUCAAAGGUUGACCUCGGAUCAGGUAGGGAUACCCGCUGAACUUAAGCAUAUCAAUAAGCGGAGGA